rnacentral:rRNA from 1 species
AUUGAACGCUGGCGGCAGGCCUAACACAUGCAAGUCGGACGGUAGCACAGAGAGCUUGCUCUCGGGUGACGAGUGGCGGACGGGUGAGUAAUGUCUGGGGAUCUGCCCGAUAGAGGGGGAUAACCACUGGAAACGGUGGCUAAUACCGCAUAACGUCGCAAGACCAAAGAGGGGGACCUUCGGGCCUCUCACUAUCGGAUGAACCCAGAUGGGAUUAGCUAGUAGGCGGGGUAACGGCCCACCUAGGCGACGAGCCCUAGCUGGUCUGAGAGGAUGACCAGCCACACUGGAACUGAGACACGGUCCAGACUCCUACGGGAGGCAGCAGUGGGGAAUAUUGCACAAUGGGCGCAAGCCUGAUGCAGCCAUGCCGCGUGUAUGAAGAAGGCCUUCGGGUUGUAAAGUACUUUCAGCGGGGAGGAAGGCGAUAAGGUUAAUAACCUUGUCGAUUGACGUUACCCGCAGAAGAAGCACCGGCUAACUCCGUGCCAGCCGCCGCGGUAA